rnacentral:lncRNA from 1 species
GAAAAUUUGACAAAACAAGUUGAGAGGCGCCCUACGAAAGUGAAGCGUGCGGGAAAGCGAAACAGGGCGGGCUAGCAGUGCUAGUGAGAUAGGGAUUGAGAUCUGUAAUCAUCACCUUCGCAGGGACACGGCUCCAGAGCUGCUGGGAGUGAGGGAGUCCCUGCCCUUUUGGCCUUUCCUGACCCAAUUCUGAUUUGCAUAGACACGACACAAAAUGAUGUGACUGACAUAUUGCAGAUAUCAUAUAGGGUUUAGAGUUGGUAAUGAGAUCUCCAACUAACAUCAUCAAUUCUCAGACCCCAAGCCUUUGGCAAAUCCUG